GAUAAACGCUGGCGGCGUGCCUAACACAUGCAAGUCGAACGCCCUUACGCAAGUAAGGGAGUGGCGGACGGGUGAGGAACACGUGGGUGAUCUGCCUUGAGGUGAGGAAUACCGGCGAGAAAUCGCCGACAAUACCGCAUACGUUCGCAAGAACAAAGUCGCAAGACGCCUUGAGAUGAGCCUGCGUCCGAUUAGCUAGUUGGUGGGGUAAAAGCCUACCAAGGCAGCGAUCGGUAGCUGGUCUGAGAGGACGAUCAGCCACACUGGGGAUUGAGAACGGCCCAGACUCCUACGGGGG
rnacentral:rRNA from 1 species